GAGUAACACGUGGAUAACCUACCUAUAAGACUGGGAUAACUUCGGGAAACCGGAGCUAAUACCGGAUAAUAUUUUGAACCGCAUGGUUCAAAAGUGAAAGACGGUCUUGCUGUCACUUAUAGUAUGGAUCCGCGCUGCAUUAGCUAGUUGGUAAGGUAACGGCUUACCAAGGCAACGAUGCAUAGCCGACCUGAGAGGGUGAUCGGCCACACUGGAACUGAGACACGGUCCAG
rnacentral:rRNA from 1 species